AUCCUGGCUCAGAAUGAACGCUGGCGGCGUGUUUAAGACAUGCAAGUCGCACGGAGGAAUGUGAGUAGCAAUACAAGCAUUCUUCAGUGGCGCACGGGUGCGUAACACGUGAGUUACAUGCCCUGCAGAGGGGGAUAGCCCAGGGAAACUUGGAUUAAUACCCCAUGGUCUCGCAAGACCUCGCGCGAUUGGAGCGGCCGAUAUCAGAUUAGGUAGUUGGUGAGGUAAAGGCUCACCAAGCCAACGAUCUGUAGCUGGUCUGAGAGGACGACCAGCCACACUGGAACUGAGACACGGUCCAGACUCCUACGGGAGGCAGCAGUGGGGAAUUUUGGACAAUGGACGCAAGUCUGAUCCAGCCAUUCCGCGUGCAGGAUGAAGGCCCUCGGGUUGUAAACUGCUUUUGUACGGAACGAAAAGGUUUGUCUUAAUACGAUGAGCUCAUGACGGUACCGUAAGAAUAAGCACCGGCUAACUACGUG
rnacentral:rRNA from 1 species